GUUGUCGUCAGCUCGUGUCGUGAGAUGUUGGGUUAAGUCCCGCAACGAGCGCAACCCUUGUCUUUAGUUGCCAUCAUUAAGUUGGGCACUCUAGAGAGACUGCCAGGGAUAACCUGGAGGAAGGUGGGGAUGACGUCAAAUCAUCAUGCCCCUUAUGCUUAGGGCUACACACGUGCUACAAUGGGUAGUACAGAGGGUUGCCAAGCCGUAAGGUGGAGCUAAUCCCUUAAAGCUACUCUCAGUUCGGAUUGUAGGCUGAAACUCGCCUACAUGAAGCUGGAGUUACUAGUAAUCGCAGAUCAGAAUGCUGCGGUGAAUGCGUUCCCGGGUCUUGUACACACCGCCCGUCACACCACGGGA
rnacentral:rRNA from 1 species